rnacentral:rRNA from 1 species
GACGAACGCUGGCGGCGUGCUUAACACAUGCAAGUCGAACGAAGAGCGAUGGACGCUUGCUUCUAUCAAUCUUAGUGGCGAACGGGUGAGUAACGCGUAAUCAACCUGCCCUUCAGAGGGGGACAACAGUUGGAAACGACUGCUAAUACCGCAUACGAUCUAAUCUCGGCAUCGAGGAUAGAUGAAAGGUGGCCUCUACAUGUAAGCUAUCACUGAAGGAGGGGAUUGCGUCUGAUUAGCUAGUUGGAGGGGUAACGGCCCACCAAGGCGAUGAUCAGUAGCCGGUCUGAGAGGAUGAACGGCCACAUUGGGACUGAGACACGGCCCAGACUCCUACGGGAGGCAGCAGUGGGGAAUCUUCCGCAAUGGACGCAAGUCUGACGGAGCAACGCCGCGUGAGUGCUGACGGCCUUCGGGUUGUAAAGCUCUGUUAAUCGGGACGAAAGGCCUUCUUGCGAAUAGUGAGAAGGAUUGACGGUACCGGAAUAGAAAGCCACGGCUAACUACGUG